UACGGAAGGCAGCAGUGGGGAAUAUUGCACAAUGGGCGAAAGCCUGAUGCAGCUAUGCCGCGUGUAUGAAGAAGGCCUUAGGGUUGUAAAGUACUUUCAUCGGGGAGGAAAAAACAAAACUAAUAAUUUUAUUUCUUGACGUUACCCGAAAAAGAAGCACCGGCUAACUCCGUGCCAGCAGCCGCGGUAAUACGGAGGGUGCUAGCGUUAAUCAGAAUUACUGGGCGUAAAGAGCACGUAGGUGGUUUUUUUAAAGUCAGAUGUGAAAUCCCUGGGCUUAAACCUAGGAACUGCAUUUUGAAACUGAAAUACUAGAGUAUCGUAGAGGGAGGUAGAAUUCUAGGUGUAGCGGUGAAAUGCGUAGAUAUCUGGAGGAAUACCUGUGGCGAAAGCGGCCUCCUAAACGAAUACUGACACUGAGGUGCGAAAGCGUGGGGAGCAAAACAGGGAUUAGAUACC
rnacentral:rRNA from 1 species